AGUGAACGCUGGCGGUAGGCCUAACACAUGCAAGUCGAACGGCAGCACAGUAAGAGCUUGCUUUUACGGGUGGCGAGUGGCGGACGGGUGAGGAUUACAGCGGAAUCUAUUUUUUCGUGGGGGAUAACGUAGGGCAACGUACGCUAAUACCGCAUACGACAUACGGGGGAAAGAAGGGGAUAUUCGGACCUUGCGAGCGUGAAUGAGCCGAUGUCGGAUUAGUUAGUUGGCUGGGGAAAGGCCCACCGAGGCGGCGGUCCGUUGCUGGACUGAGUGGAUGAUCCGCCACUGGUGAGCGGAGACGCGGUCCCGGACCCGACGGGAGGCAGCAGUCGGGAAUAUAGGACAAGGGGCGGAAGCCUGUUCCAGCCAUACCGCGUAGGUGAAGAAGGCCUUCGGGUUGUAAAGCCCUUUUGUUGGGAAAGAAAAGCAUCAGUUUAAAACCCCGCUGUUCGGACGGUACCCAAAGAAAAAGCACCGGCUAACUUGGG
rnacentral:rRNA from 1 species